rnacentral:rRNA from 1 species
GGGCUCACACAAGCGGUGGAGCAUGUGGAUUAAUUCGAAGCAACGCGAAGAACCUUACCUGGGUUUGACAUGUUUGGAUGCUCUCCUGGAAACAGGAGUAGGCUGCCUUCGGGUGAAACUUACACAGGUGCUGCAUGGCUGUCGUCAGCUCGUGCUGUGAAGUGUCGGGUUAAGUCCCUUAACGAGCGAAACCCCUAUCGUUAGUUGCCAGCGGGUUAUGCCGGGAACUCUAGCGAGACCGCCGGUGUCAAACCGGAGGAAGGUGGGGACGACGUCAAGUCAUCAUGGCCUUUAUGCCCAGGGAUUCGCACGUGCUACAAUGGUCCGUACAGAGCGACGCGAGAUCGUGAGAUGGAGCAAAUCGCAGAAAGCGGGCCUCAGUUCGGAUUGGAGUCUGCAACUCGACUCCAUGAAGUUGGAAUCGCUAGUAA